rnacentral:lncRNA from 1 species
GCGCGCGCUUGCCUGUAUAUUUAAGCUUAUGGCAGUAAUAUCUCAAGUGUGGCUGUAGAAAUCCAACUGGUCCCCUGUCCUACAAAGGAUAAGAGAUAGAUAGUCCCCAUUACUAUUUCUCUAAAGAUAUAUAAGUAUAAAAUGUACAUUGAGUUCAUGCCCAAGUGUGGACACUGACACCUUGGUUUACAAUGAGAUUUCCAAGAGUGGACAAUUGGACUGUUUUUUUGUUUUUACAUGAUUCUAGAAAUCUAAAGUCCUACCCAGUGAUGCUAAAUUUGUCUUACAAUGACUUGUGAACUUUAUCUAAGAAGUUUUCUUUCUUUCUUUUUUUUCUUUUUUUAGAUGACAUUCAGCAGAAUCACUUAGAUUGUAUUUGAAAGUUUGGACAUUUUUAUCCAUUUAUCUUUUAUGAAUUUAUUUGACAUUAUUCUGUAAUAUUAACUCUGUCAGUCAUCUCUAUGGGGAUGAGACCAGUCCCCUCUCCUCACACCCCACCCCCGCAUAUAAGUAGAGAAACCAUUUUCACAGAUUUUUUUAAAGUCAAAUUUUACCUUUCAUUAAGUCAUGGGCCCCAACUAAAUUAUAAAUCUUCAGCUUUUUAAUUUAGAUGGUUGGGGCUCCCAUUAAGAAAAAAAAGUGUCACCCCAUGUGCAGAAUUUCAUUGCUCUUCCCUUUUUUCUUUCCUAGGCAUCUUAAUUGAGGUAAGGGGCCUUUAUACACGUACACACCCAUUCCCAUAGCCUGAAAAGCUCUACCCAGUCAAGGUUUUCACUUAGCAAAUAUUUGUUUAGUUACUCUCCUCUUACCUUUUCUCAGAGCUAGAGGUGAACCAAAGUCAUUGUCAUUGGGUUCUCAGUCUGGUCAAGGACGAGGCCAGUGUACAGGUGUAGCUGAGAGCUAACACUAGGGUCUUAAUCUGGAUGAGCUUCAUGCACGAGGUGGCUGACCAACUGAGUUUGAAAAUAUCAUUUAUAAGUUAGAGAAGGCAACAGAGUGAAUUUGGGAUUUCAAGACAUCUCAACGUGAUGUGGGAUGGAGGGAGGAGAUAUGUUUAGAAUAGGGGACUGGCACCAGAGAGGACAAUGUCCUCUGUGUUUGUCCAUCUCCAACUGUGAUCUUUGGGGCCAUGACUCCAUGGGAAGUCUGUCAAAUGAAGUGUAUCUGUAUCUGAGUGGAAGCCCAAGACCUUGUGGUUUAGCAAGUUUUCCAAUCAUGAAAGGCAUCUUGGGAGAAUGAGAAGCUUAAAAUACUUGAGAUCAUGUGACCAAUUUUGGGUUUUGCAAAAACUCAUUUGUGGAAAUAAAACUUCCCAGGCGAUUGCUGAGCGUUGGGUAGUUAUCAGGUCUCUAGAUGCAAUGGUAACCUGGUCUCCCUGUCCAAUGGAGGCUGUGUAUAACUGAAGCACAGGCGGUGACUGAGAAGACUGUGAGAGGUUAUAGUUGUAAUGUUUCCUCACCGAAGCCCAGUUCAUCUUUCCAGAUGUGGAAGAGAUGCUUGCUCCAUGGCUUGCUUCAUAAAUGUUUAAGGACUUGUUGGAGAGGGCUUUGCUUUUCCAAUAUCUUUGGGUCUUACUAAACUUUCCUGUAAAGACAGAGAAUUUUAUUGACUUUGUUGUUUGCUCAUUCAUGCUUUUCUUCUUCUCUCCCCCUUCCUCAGACUGCUCAAGGUGGAGGCCACCGGACACUCCUCUAUGGACACGCCAUAUUGCUACGCCAUUCCUACAGUGGUAUGGUGAGUAGACAUCUUUAUUUCAUCUCUUGUAUGGCUACGCUGAUCCAGGGUCAGGUAGACUGUCUAGAAUUUUGAUGAUAUCACUUCAGCCAUGAUAAUAAUGAGUUUGACUAGAUUUAGUUUUAAUAUCCUUGUGCACUGUUCAGUUUUCUCAUUCAUAAGAUGAAGGUUAGAUUCAGGCAUAACAGGUAUGUUACCUAUUUUUAAUGCCUUUGAUAGAUUUUUAACACCUGUAAUAUAUUUGAUAGACAAAUUUUAAGAGGAGGCAAUUAUAAAAGCCAAGUGUUAACUAUUUUCCAUUUCUAAUUCUGUUUUAAAUUAUUAAUGUAUAAAUACAUUUAAAUAUCCACCUCUAAGGGAAUCUGACACGCUUUUGUUGCCUCCAAGGUUACUUUUGUUCAUGUUUACACACAUAUACAUAAUAU